UACGUAGGUUGCAAGCGUUGUUCGGAGUUACUGGGCGUAAAGAGUGCGUAGGCGGUCCUUUAAGUUUGGUGUGAAAUCUCCCGGCUCAACUGGGAGGGUGCGACGAAAACUGGAGGGCUUGAGUGUGGGAGAGGCAAGCGGAAUUCCUGGUGUAGCGGUGAAAUGCGCAGAUAUCUGGAGGAACACCGGUGGCGAAGGCGGCAUCCUGGACCAACACUGACGCUGAGUGAGCGAAAGCCAGGGGAGCAAACGGG
rnacentral:rRNA from 1 species